GGGUGAGUAACGCGUAUCCAACCUUCCGUACACUCAGGGAUAGCCUUUCGAAAGAAAGAUUAAUACCUGAUGGUAUGAUGAGAUUGCAUGAUAGCAUCAUUAAAGAUUUAUCGGUGUACGAUGGGGAUGCGUUCCAUUAGGUAGUAGGCGGGGUAACGGCCCACCUAGCCAACGAUGGAUAGGGGUUCUGAGAGGAAGGUCCCCCACAUUGGAACUGAGACACGGUCCAAACUCCUACGGGAGGCAGCAGUGAGGAAUAUUGGUCAAUGGACGAGAGUCUGAACCAGCCAAGUAGCGUGAAGGAUGAAGGUCCUACGGAUUGUAAACUUCUUUUAUAAGGGAAUAAACCCUCCCACGUGUGGGAGCUUGUAUGUACCUUAUGAAUAAGCAUCGGCUAACUCCGUGCCAGCAGCCGCGGUAAUACGGAGGAUGCGAGCGUUAUCCGGAUUUAUUGGGUUUAAAGGGAGCGCAGACGGGUCGUUAAGUCAGCUGUGAAAGUUUGGGGCUCAACCUUAAAAUUGCAGUUGAUACUGGCGUCCUUGAGUGCGGUUGAGGUGUGCGGAAUUCGUGGUGUAGCGGUGAAAUGCUUAGAUAUCACGAAGAACUCCGAUUGCGAAGGCAGCACACUAAUCCGUAAC
rnacentral:rRNA from 1 species